rnacentral:lncRNA from 1 species
CACGAGGAGGGGAGCAGGAAGUGGGAGAGAGUCAGGACCUUCCCUCCUAAGUAGAGCCCUCGUUCACCUCCACCCCCUGAGGUCUCUUCUUAGCUGGACCCCCUCCGCUGUCGCUGCUGUUCGGCCCACCUAGCACUGCGGUUUGCUGUUUCAGGCCGUCCUCACCGUUAGUGUGGGGCUGCUUGGGCUCUCCGGUUCGAUCAAGGAGACCAUGGCCCAUCUUCAGGCACUGUUUCAGCCACUCCAGUGCCUGGUUGCUGAACAAAUCUGACAUUUGGAAACAGUCUUACUCUGCAUCCAAAUCACCCAGGCCUGGCUGCUUGUUGCAGACAUCCUGUGGUGGAACAUCAAAGAAAGCAUAGCAUGCCUCUCUUGGAAUGAACGACAACAGAGGAGUUUCCUUUCCUUUCUCUUCUCUCGAUGCUGCAGUUGUUUGAGCGAACACUAGUUACUGGUGUUGAAGGCAGCCAGCUUCAUUCCCCGCUGUGUACUUUAAUUAGCCUCCUUUCUGGGUCAUAGUUUUGACUUCCUGUUGGGUGUUCCUGGAUACAGGACCGUGUGGGUGGUCUGGGAGGGCUCUGGUGUUUCCUUACUGAUUUCUGCAAAGAUUAUUGUUUUUAAAAAGAUGUUUGAGAUCCACGGAAUUGUUUUGCUCUUGCUCCUCUGUGAAAUAUAUCCAUGAUUAUGCCUGUUCCAUUAUUCUCUGAUUUAAAAAGUUAGGUGCAUAAUCUAGAGGCAGGAUUGAUUGGGAAGAAAAAUCAGUUUCUUUCCCAUUUUUUUUUUUUUAAGUUAAAAUUUAGCAGGAAGCUAACCCAGGGAAAAUUGUGGUGUCUUCGAUGUCAGCUGCUAGGUCAGAUAACAGAUAGAAGAUGAACUGGAACAGAGUUGAAUCUGUGCUUUGCUACUACCUCACCAAAUGACCUUGAACAGGUCAUCUCAGCCUUUGUGAUCAUGUUUUUUUUCACCUAUAAAAUGAAAACAUUACAUUAAAUGGACCAAUUCUAAGGCUCCUUUUGGUU